rnacentral:rRNA from 1 species
AUUGAACGCUGGCGGCAGGCCUAACACAUGCAAGUCGAGCGAGGACUUCGGUCCUAGCGGCGGACGGGUGAGUAACGCCUGGGAACGUGCCCUUUGCUACGGAAUAGCCCCGGGAAACUGGGAGUAAUACCGUAUGUGCUCGAGAGAGGAAAGAUUUAUCGGCAAAGGACCGGCCGGCGUUGGAUUAGGUAGUUGGUGGGGUAAUGGCCUACCAAGCCGACGAUCCAUAGCUGGUUUGAGAGGAUGAUCAGCCACACUGGGACUGAGACACGGCCCAGACUCCUACGGGAGGCAGCAGUGGGGAAUGUUAGACAAUGGGCGCAAGCCUGAUCUAGCCAUGCCGCGUGAGCGAUGAAGGCCUUAGGGUUGUAAAGCUCUUUCAGGUGGGAAGAUAAUGACUGUACCACCAGAAGAAGCCCCGGCUAACUCCGUGCCAGCAGCCGCCGUAAUAC